rnacentral:rRNA from 1 species
GAUGAACGCUGGCGGCGUGCCUAAUACAUGCAAGUCGAACGCUGGAAAUCUAGCUUGCUCGAUUGAAGGAGUGGCGAACGGGUGAGUAAUACAUAAGCAACCUACCCACGAAGACUGGGAUAAUCUCUGGAAACGGGGACUAAUACCGGAUAGGUAAUCGGAAGGCAUCUUCUGAUUAUUAAAGGUUAAAAACACUGGUGGAUGGGCUUAUGGCGCAUUAGUUAGUUGGUGAGGUAACGGCCCACCAAGACGAUGAUGCGUAGCCGGCCUGAGAGGGUGAACGGCCACAUUGGGACUGGGACACGGCCCAGACUCCUACGGGAGGCAGCAGUAGGGAAUGUUCGGCAAUGGGGGAAACCCUGACCGAGCAACGCCGCGUGAGUGAUGACGGCCUUCGGGUUGUAAAGCUCUGUUGUAAGGGAAGAACGGUAGAUAGAGAAUAUCUAAAUGACGGUACCUUACCAGAAAGCCACGGCUAACUACGUG